rnacentral:rRNA from 1 species
GAUGAACGCUAGCGGCAGGCCUAACACAUGCAAGUCGAGGGGUAGAACACUUCGGUGUUUGAGACCGGCGCACGGGUGCGUAACGCGUAUGCAAUCUGCCUUACACUAAGGGAUAGCCCAGAGAAAUUUGGAUUAAUACCUUAUAGUAUAUUGAUGUGGCAUCACAUUAUUAUUAAAGAUUUAUUGGUUUAAGAUGAGCAUGCGUCCCAGUAGCUAGUUGGUAUGGUAACGGCAUACCAAGGCAAUGAUGGGUAGGGGUCCUGAGAGGGAGAUCCCCCACACUGGUACUGAGACACGGACCAGACUCCUACGGGAGGCAGCAGUGAGGAAUAUUGGUCAAUGGUCGCAAGACUGAACCAGCCAUGCCGCGUGCAGGAUGAAGCAUCUAUGGUGUGUAAACUGCUUUUGUACGGGAAGAAACACCUCUUCGUGAAGAGGCUUGACGGUACCGUAAGAAUAAGGAUCGGCUAACUCCGUGCCAGCCGCCGCUGUAAAAC